UAACCUGCUAAAUAGUUACGUUAACUUUGGUUGACGGCUAACUUCUUAGAGGGACUAUGGAUGUUUAAUCCAUGGAAGUUUGAGGCAAUAACAGGUCUGUGAUGCCCUUAGAUGUCCUGGGCCGCACGCGCGCUACACUGAUGAAGGCAGCAAGUAAUUCACCUUGGCCGGAAGGUCUGGGUAAUCUCCUGAAACUUCAUCGUGCUGGGGAUAGUCCUUUGCAAUUAUUGGACUUCAACGAGGAAUUCCUAGUAAGCGUGAGUCAUCAGCUUGCGUUGAUUACGUCCCUGCCCUUUGUACACACCGCCCGUCGCC
rnacentral:rRNA from 1 species